GACCCUGAGGCACCUUCUGGGCCCAAAUGGAGGUGGCCCCGGGUACAGCUAUGGAGUGUCCCAGGAGUGUUCCGCUAGUGGCAUUGUAUUGUUUUCACAGCCAGUUUCGAUAUCUGGUGUCUACCCCUUGCCGUGCUGGCAGGGCAUUGAGCGGCACCCGUUGCCGGCCACCUAGGUGCGGAGAUCGAGGAGGGUGAAGGGAGGAGCAACCCUGAGCAUCUGCCAUCCAGCUCCAUCUGAUCUAGAGCAAUUCCAGGAUGGAGCGAAUCAGGUGGAUGCUCAGGAGGAAGGCCGGGCAGGUGGCUCCAGAGUCGGCAGCAAACAUCAGCCAGCCUGCCCAGGAGGAGAGCGGCCCCUCUGUCCCUGCGGGCAGGGAAGAGGCUCGUGGCCAGGGGAAAGGGAGGAGCUGUGUCGCCUGCUGGAGGAGGAGGAAGACAGCAGCUCCCCUAGCUGAACCUGAGGCACCUUCUGGGCAGAAAUGGAGGUGGCCCCAGGUUCAGCUGUGGAGGAGAGAGCCAGGGGAAGGCAGCUCUGGGGCUUCCUUUGCAGGAAGCCAAGGAGCCAGGAGCUGCGCACCAGGGCCCAGCAGGAGCCGCCAACCACCCUGGCCCCAGAGGAGCCUCCCGCCAGCCCCACCCUGGCCCCAGAGGAGCCUCCUGCUUGCCCCACCCUGGCACCUGUGGCGCCUCCUCCCAGCCCAGAGCAGGAGUUGAGCAACUGCGGGACAAACACCAGCAGCUCCACAUUCUCCUGCGGGGCCAGCAGCUCCUCCGUGGGGUCUGGCAGCCUUGUGUUGCUAGGCUCCCUCUUUGGAGACACCCCCAGUGCCCAGGUGUCGUGGCCUGAGGAGGAGGAGGAGC